rnacentral:rRNA from 1 species
UACGGAGGGUGCAAGCGUUAUCCGGAUUCACUGGGGUUAAAGGGUGUGUAGGCGGGUAUUUAAGUCAGUGGUGAAAUCUCCAGGCUCAACCUGGAAACUGCCAUUGAUACUAUAUAUCUUGAAUCUUGUUGAGGUGGGCGGAAUAUGUCAUGUAGCGGUGAAAUGCAUAGAUAUGACAUAGAACACCAAUUGCGAAGGCAGCUCACAAAGCAAGUAUUGACGCUGAGGCACGAAAGCGUGGGGAUCAAACAGG